rnacentral:rRNA from 1 species
AUUGAACGCUGGCGGAAUGCUUUACACAUGCAAGUCGAACGGCAGCACGGACUUCGGUCUGGUGGCGAGUGGCGAACGGGUGAGUAAUGUAUCGGAACGUGCCCAGUCGUGGGGGAUAACGUAGUGAAAAUUACGCUAAUACCGCAUACGAUCUAUGGAUGAAAGCGGGGGAUCGCAAGACCUCGCGCGAUUGGAGCGGCCGGUAUCAGAUUAGGCAGGUGGUGGGGGAAAGGCCCACCAAGCCAACGAACUGUAGCUGGUCUGAGGGGACGACCAGACACACUGGAACUGAGACACGGUCCAGACUCCUACGGGAGGCAGCAGUGGGGAAUUUUGGACAAUGGGCGAAAGCCUGAUCCAGCCAUUCCGCGUGCAGGAUGAAGGCCCUCGGGUUGUAAACUGCUUUUGUACAGAACGAAAAGGUUUCUACUAAUACUAGGAGCUCAUGACGGUACUGUAAGAAUAAGCACCGGCUAACUACGUGCCAGCCGCCGCCGUAA